rnacentral:rRNA from 1 species
UACGGGGGGGGCAAGCGUUGUUCGGAAUUACUGGGCGUAAAGGGCUCGUAGGUGGUCAACUAAGUCGGACGUGAAAUCCCUCGGCUUAACCGGGGAACUGCGUCCGAUACUGGAUGACUUGAGUUCGGGAGAGGGAUGCGGAAUUCCAGGUGUAGCGGUGAAAUGCGUAGAUAUCUGGAGGAACACCGGUGGCGAAGGCGGCAUCCUGGACCGACACUGACGCUGAGGAGCGAAAGCCAGGGGAGCAAAGCGGG